rnacentral:misc_RNA from 1 species
GAAAAAUCUCUUUCAGGCAAAUUUAAAAUGGUUUACCAUACUCUGCAGAGCUGCUGUUGCCUAUUGAUGGAUUUUUAGACUUGUAUAAAAAUUUUCAUUGGUUUACAGUAAUUUUACACAGCUACCAUAUUGAUGGAUUUUUUUUUAACUUCAAAAAUCUUUUGUUCAUUUUAUGAGUUAUCAUAAAUUAUUAAGGUAUAAAUGAAGUGAAAUAAGAAUGCAGCAGUUUCAGUAGGGAUUUAUUCAUACAUAUAUUCAUGCAAUGAUUUUUGAUAAGGGUGAGGGAGAGUUGUGCAACCACGAAAGCUGGACUUUGUCAAGAAAAUAUUUCACAUGACAAUGUAUUUUGUUGUUAUAUAUUAUUUAUCAAAGCUUCCCAUGCCAAAAUGUCACAAAUAUAUCUAGUAACAUCAAUAAAAGUAACACUCUUCAAUCAUUUCUUAUACAGUAAUAAACACUAAGACAUUUAUACAUUUUUUUUAUCUGCAUGGGAUGUCAGAUUUUAUGUUGUUGGUGAGAUAUUGUACAUGUACAUGUAACUGUUAUUACUUAUUUUAAUGCCGAGUUUUACUCACAUAUACAUUCUUAUAUGUAAUAAAUAUUUGUAAAGCUUA